GAUAUUGUAGCUCAGACUGGACAGAGCAGCGAAAUACCAUUCGUCAGGCGGAGGUUCGAAUCCUCCCAGUGUCUCCA
rnacentral:tRNA from 1 species